AAUGAUUUUAUGUAUGAUGCAAAUGGUAAUGCACUAUUUAUUAUUUCUCAUAGUGAUUGGAAAGGAUAGAAUUCUUCUUGGUUCAAACUUAGAGAAGUUGAGAAGAGACCCAGACAAUCUAAAUGUGAUAAUAGAAAUAAGAGAAAAGCUUCUAUUAAAAUUUAGAAUUAAUUACUUAACUUAAGCCACUAGCUAAACUUAGAAAUAUGGAAAUUCUGUCGAAAAUUCGGCAGAUUCUCCUCUAAAAAUUGGACUUAACCACCUGUUGACUAUCCAUAAAUCACAAACAAUAUAUAAAGCCCAUCCGUUGGGCAAAUCCUUAUCAAACCCAUCCGCCAUUGACAACAUUUAUCAAAAUCUCAUCCUCAAUAUUCAGUCACAUAAUUUAAUUUUAUUAUAUCUAUAUCCUAACAUAAUCACAUCCCGAACUUCAAAUGCAUGUAUGUACACGCAUAUAUGCACUUAAUAAUUCUAAAAUUCUAAACCAAUUAAUUAAUCACAAUCGGCUACCAUAAAUACCGUAAGCUAAUCAAAAUUAAUUCAUUUAUAAAAGAUUAAAAAUUUU
rnacentral:lncRNA from 1 species